UAGGGAAUAUUGCACAAUGGGGGAAACCCUGAUGCAGCGACGCCGCGUGAAGGAAGAAGUAUCUCGGUAUGUAAACUUCUAUCAGCAGGGAAGAUAAUGACGGUACCUGACUAAGAAGCCCCGGCUAACUACGUGCCAGCAGCUGCGGUAAUACGUAGGGGGCAAGCGUUAUCCGGAUUUACUGGGUGUAAAGGGUGCGUAGGCGGCAAGGCAAGUCAGAUGUGAAAGACCGGGGCUCAACCCCGGGGCUGCAUUUGAAACUGUUUUGCUGGAGUCCAGGAGAGGCAGGCGGAAUUCCUAGUGUAGCGGUGAAAUGCGUAGAUAUUAGGAGGAACACCAGUGGCGAAGGCGGCCUGCUGGACUGGUACUGACGCUGAGGCACGAAAGCGUGGGGAGCAAACAGGAUUAGAUACCC
rnacentral:rRNA from 1 species